AGUCCCGGGAGUGACGUCAGAGGCGCUGAUGAUCUGCACAAUGACAGCUGCUCCCCUGUUCUCCUUUACAGACAGCGGCACCUAGCGGCGGGAGGGUGGAAAUACACGAGAGCUGCAUUACCUUCAGCCGAGUACAUCUAUGAGGAUGACAGUGUCCGCAUGGUCCUAGCGCUGACUGAUUUAGUUGGCAGUGUCCGUCCCCGGGAUUUCUGGACAGAGAUCCGGUAGUCUGCAUCUAGCCCUACUGAUAAAGUGAGUGGCCGUACAACAAGGUCAGGUGUAAGGGAUCCUCCUUCUGCACAUAAAAUGAAGUUGCUGCUCCUGUUCUUCGUUGUGGAUUCGGCAGUGCAGGACACAUAACAGACUGCUGGACAGGGCGUCACACAGCUCAUAAAGAGAUGACUACCUUCUGCGAGUAGACUCUCAACUGGAAGACAUUACCUUUCCAGAGCAGACAGACAUCUGGAGGACACCAGAGCCUGGAUGUGAAUCCUUUGGAAGAGACAAGCUUCCCCAAGAAGACUACUAACUGAAAGAGACCACCUCCCUAAAGUAGACACUAACUGAAAGAGUCAACUCCUAUGAAGAGAUGACCAACCCCACAAAAGAGACUCUGUGUGAAGGACACAGCCACCUGGAAGAGACCACCCACCCUGGAGGAGUACCUCACCUGAACUAGAACACAUGACCAUAAGAGACACUGACCUUCCCAACAAGAGGAGACUAAUAAAAGAGA